AGCGGUGGGAUGGCGUCCUAGUGCGAGGUAAAGCAGCUCAGAGACACAGUUCGUGGAUUUACAAAUUGAAGGUGACGCUAGUGUUCAUACAGCGUCCCUGUCUACAUAAAGAUUUGGGAAAACCAGCACUACUUCAGAGAUGGAAGGCCGUGCAGUAUCUCACUUUGACGCCAGGCUCCAGCAGCGACUACAGGAUGUGAUGCGCAAUAUGGAGUAUCCUAUCCCAGAGGAAAGAGAGACAGAGUGGAGGGUGGCGCUUCGUACCGAUCUCUGGA
rnacentral:lncRNA from 1 species